rnacentral:rRNA from 1 species
GACGAACGCUGGCGGCGUGCCUAAUACAUGCAAGUCGAACGAACUCUGGUAUUGAUUGGUGCUUGCAUCAUGAUUUACAUUUGAGUGAGUGGCGAACUGGUGAGUAACACGUGGGAAACCUGCCCAGAAGCGGGGGAUAACACCUGGAAACAGAUGCUAAUACCGCAUAACAACUUGGACCGCAUGGUCCGAGCUUGAAAGAUGGCUUCGGCUAUCACUUUUGGAUGGUCCCGCGGCGUAUUAGCUAGAUGGUGGGGUAACGGCUCACCAUGGCAAUGAUACGUAGCCGACCUGAGAGGGUAAUCGGCCACAUUGGGACUGAGACACGGCCCAAACUCCUACGGGAGGCAGCAGUAGGGAAUCUUCCACAAUGGACGAAAGUCUGAUGGGGCAACGCCGCGUGAGUGAAGAAGGGUUUCGGCUCGUAAAACUCUGUUGUUAAAGAAGAACAUAUCUGAGAGUAACUGUUCAGGUAUUGACGGUAUUUAACCAGAAAGCCACGGCUAACUACGUGCCAGCAGCCGCGGUAAUACGUAGGUGGCAAGCGUUGUCCGGAUUUAUUGGGCGUAAAGCGAGCGCAGGCGGUUUUUUAAGUCUGAUGUGAAAGCCUUCGGCUCAACCGAAGAAGUGCAUCGGAAACUGGGAAACUUGAGUGCAGAAGAGGACAGUGGAACUCCAUGUGUAGCGGUGAAAUGCGUAGAUAUAUGGAAGAACACCAGUGGCGAAGGCGGCUGUCUGGUCUGUAACUGACGCUGAGGCUCGAAAGUAUGGGUAGCAAACAGGAUUAGAUACCCUGGUAGUCCAUACCGUAAACGAUGAAUGCUAAGUGUUGGAGGGUUUCCGCCCUUCAGUGCUGCAGCUAACGCAUUAAGCAUUCCGCCUGGGGAGUACGGCCGCAAGGCUGAAACUCAAAGGAAUUGACGGGGGCCCGCACAAGCGGUGGAGCAUGUGGUUUAAUUCGAAGCUACGCGAAGAACCUUACCAGGUCUUGACAUACUAUGCAAAUCUAAGAGAUUAGACGUUCCCUUCGGGGACAUGGAUACAGGUGGUGCAUGGUUGUCGUCAGCUCGUGUCGUGAGAUGUUGGGUUAAGUCCCGCAACGAGCGCAACCCUUAUUAUCAGUUGCCAGCAUUAAGUUGGGCACUCUGGUGAGACUGCCGGUGACAAACCGGAGGAAGGUGGGGAUGACGUCAAAUCAUCAUGCCCCUUAUGACCUGGGCUACACACGUGCUACAAUGGAUGGUACAACGAGUUGCGAACUCGCGAGAGUAAGCUAAUCUCUUAAAGCCAUUCUCAGUUCGGAUUGUAGGCUGCAACUCGCCUACAUGAAGUCGGAAUCGCUAGUAAUCGCGGAUCAGCAUGCCGCGGUGAAUACGUUCCCGGGCCUUGUACACACCGCCCGUCACACCAUGAGAGUUUGUAACACCCAAAGUCGGUGGGGUAACCUUUUAGGAACCAGCCGCCUAAGGUGGGACAGAUGAUUAGGGUG